UACGGAGGGUGCAAGCGUUAUCCGGAUUUAUUGGGUUUAAAGGGUGCGUAGGCGGUAUUUUAAGUCAGUGGUGAAAUCCUGCAGCUCAACUGUAGUACUGCCAUUGAAACUGAAGUACUUGAGUAAUCUUGAGGUAGGCGGAAUGUGUAGUGUAGCGGUGAAAUGCUUAGAUAUUACACAGAACACCGAUUGCGAAGGCAGCUUACUAAGGAUUUACUGACGCUGAUGCACGAAAGUGUGGGGAUCAAACAGG
rnacentral:rRNA from 1 species